CCGAGUUUACAACUCCCCAAACCCCUGUGAACAUACCUAUACGUUGCCUCGGCGGAUCAGCCCGCGCCCCUGUAAAACGGGACGGCCCGCCGCAGGACCCAUAAACCCUGAUUUUUUAGUGUAACUUCUGAGUUUAAAAAACAAAUAAAUCAA
rnacentral:misc_RNA from 1 species